rnacentral:rRNA from 1 species
GAUGAACGCUGGCGGCGUGCCUAAUACAUGCAAGUCGAGCGAACAGACGAGGAGCUUGCUCCUCUGACGUUAGCGGCGGACGGGUGAGUAACACGUGGAUAACCUACCUAUAAGACUGGGAUAACUUCGGGAAACCGGAGCUAAUACCGGAUAAUAUAUUGAACCGCAUGGUUCAAUAGUGAAAGACGGUUUUGCUGUCACUUAUAGAUGGAUCCGCGCCGCAUUAGCUAGUUGGUAAGGUAACGGCUUACCAAGGCAACGAUGCGUAGCCGACCUGAGAGGGUGAUCGGCCACACUGGAACUGAGACACGGUCCAGACUCCUACGGGAGGCAGCAGUAGGGAAUCUUCCGCAAUGGGCGAAAGCCUGACGGAGCAACGCCGCGUGAGUGAUGAAGGUCUUCGGAUCGUAAAACUCUGUUAUUAGGGAAGAACAAAUGUGUAAGUAACUAUCCACGUCUUGACGGUACCUAAUCAGAAAACCACGGCUAACUACGU